GAUGAACGCUGGCGGCGUGCUUAACACAUGCAAGUCGAACGAUGAAGCCCAGCUUGCUGGGUGUAUUAGUGGCGAACGGGUGAGUAACACGUGAGUAACCUGCCCUUAACUCUGGGAUAAGCCUUGGAAACUGGGUCUCAUACCGGAUAUGAGCGUCCCCCGCAUGGUGGGUGUUGGAAAGAUUUAUCGGUUUUGGAUGGACUCGCGGCCUAUCAGCUUGUUGGUGAGGUAAUGGCUCACCAAGGCGACGACGGGUAGCCGGCCUGAGAGGGUGACCGGCCACACUGGGACUGAGACACGGCCCAGACUCCUACGGGAAGCAGCAGUGGGGAAUAUUGCACAAUGGGCGCAAGCCUGAUGCAGCGACGCCGCGUGAGGGAUGACGGCCUUCGGGUUGUAAACCUCUUUCAGUAGGGAAGAAGCGAAAGUGACGGUACCUGCAGAAGAAGCACCGGCUAACUACGUG
rnacentral:rRNA from 1 species